AAGAUCAUAAUUUUAAGUCUAAUCUGCCCAAUGAAUUUUUAAUGGCCGCGGUAUAUUGACCGUGCAAAGGUAGCGUAAUAAUUAGUUUUUUAAUUGAAAACUUGUAUGAAGGAUUUGACGAAAACUUGACUGUCUCUUAGUGAAAAAUAAAAUUUUAUUUUUAAGUAAGAAAGCUUAAAUGUAUUAAAAAGACGAGAAGACCCUAUAGAUUUUUAUAUUUUCUUGAAAUUAUUUAUUUUAGGAUUAAUUAAAUAUUUUAAGAUUUAUUUGGUUGGGGUGACUAUUAAAUUUAAUUAACUUUAUAAAUAUAUCACACAUAUAAGUGAUUGAAUGAUCCAAUUUUUUUGAUUAUAAGAUUAAAUUACCUUAGGGAUAACAGCGUUAUUUUUUCUUAAAGUUCUUAUUGAUGAAAAAGUUCGCGACCUCGAUGUUGGAUUAAAAUUAAUUAUUGAUGCAGAAGUUAAAUUAUUAAGUCUGUCCAGUUAAAUUAUUAAGUCUGUCCGAUUAAAAUUAAUUAUUGAUGCAGAAGUUAAAUUAUUAAGUCUGUCCAGUUAAAUUAUUAAGUCUGUCC
rnacentral:rRNA from 1 species